rnacentral:rRNA from 1 species
AUUGAACGCUGGCGGCAGGCUUAACACAUGCAAGUCGAGCGAGCGGCGGACGGGUGAGUAAUGUCUGGGCAACUGCCUGGGGGAGGGGGAUAACUACUGGAAACGGUAGCUAAUACCGCAUAGCAUCAGCUGUGCCCAGGUGGGAUUAGCGAGUGGGUUGGGUAAGGGCCUACCUAGGCGACGAUCCCUAGCUGGUCUGAGAGGAUGACCAGCCACACUGGAACUGAGACACGGUCCAGACUCCUACGGGAGGCAGCAGUGGGGAAUAUUGCACAAUGGGCGCAAGCCUGAUGCAGCCAUGCCGCGUGUGUGAAGAAGGCCUUCGGGUUGUAAAGCACUUUCAGCGAGGAGGCGUUACUAGCAGAAGAAGCACCGGCUAACUCCGUGCCAGCAGCCGCGGUAAUAC